GCUCCCGUAGCUCAAAUGGAUAGAGCGGCGGUUUCCUAAACCGCGGAUCCUGGUUCAAUUCCAGGCGGGGGUACCA
rnacentral:tRNA from 1 species